GCAAGGACUAAGCUCAGCUACUCGCCACUAGCCGCUAGUGACAAUAGCCGGCGAGUGCCCUUCGAGGAUUGGCUUUUUGCUGUGGUCGUGGCGGCUCCCGUGUGGUCUUAAGGAGGACCUCGGGGAUCUCAGAUACGAUCAGUAGUCGGGACGCCAUGUGACUGCAGUGAACAAGAGUUAGUGAGAAAAUAAUUGUAUGGAAAAAAAUAACAACAUAGAAACCAGGGAAAUGGUAUGAAAUUAUAAAACAAAGAAAACGGGAAAGGAG